rnacentral:antisense_RNA from 1 species
UUUUUUUUUUUUCUUUUUUCAAAAUUUCCCUUUGAACAUAGGAUUCUCUUUUUGAUGUCACCUGUUCAGUCAGGUCACCGGUUACCUUAACAACUGCGUUGCCAUGUAUUAGUUUUAUGUUUGUUCCCUUUGUGGUGGGGAUGUAUUAUCAGAAUCACCUGAGUGGCUUGAGGGACGGGGGCUACGUUUAAGAAAGCUUCCCAGGUGUGUUGUAAGAAGCCCCAAGGAAUGAAUCGCUGGUCCCGUUCUUGAGCCUGGUUGCUAAUGGAACCCACUGGGAGCACUUUUCAAAAAAGGAUGCCACUUGAAAUUCAUUUAUGUGCCAGGCGCGGUGGCUCACGCCUGUAAAUUUUAUAGUAUGAGGAUUAUAUCUCAAUUUUUUUUAAAUGGAAAUAAUUUUCAGGGUAAAUCCAGUUGACCCCAUACUCCAAGGCCUCCCCCAUGCUUGGGACAGGCACCUGUCCACAGGACAGAGCUCUAAGUGGCAGAAAGAACACGUCUCCUGCAGUGACUAUGUGGUCUCCUGGCCGAGCUCCAAGCCGCCUGGAAACGCCACACCCAAGCUGGUAGAUGCCCUCUUUCCUGGAGCAC